CUCCAGUUAACCUAGUGGUUAAGGCUAUGGAUUGUCAAUCCGAAGACAGCGGGUUCAAUUCCCGUACUGGUCG
rnacentral:tRNA from 1 species